UACGUAGGGGCCUAGCGUUGUCCGGAUUUAUUGGGCGUAAAGGGCGCGUAGGCGGCUUGGCAAGUGGAAGGUGAAAUCCCUCGGCUUAACCGAGGAACUGCCUUCCAGACUGCUUUGCUUGAGGCCGGGAGAGGCGAGUGGAAUUCCCAGUGUAGCGGUGAAAUGCGUAGAUAUUGGGAGGAACACCAGUGGCGAAGGCGACUUCCUGGCCUGUUCUUGACGCUGAGGCGCGAAAGCUAGGGGAGCAAACGGG
rnacentral:rRNA from 1 species